GCCUCUAUGGCCAAGUGGUAAGGCAUCGCACUCGUAAUGCGGAGAUCGUGGGUUCAAAUCCCACUGGAGGCA
rfam:Ashbya gossypii ATCC 10895 chromosome VI, complete sequence.